UGGAGGACAGGGACCGGCACUUCCAUUCUGGGCAUCUGGCACGGUGCUGGCACACAAUAAAUACUCAAUGCGUUUUUGUUGACUGAAUCAAGGAACGAGAGUGUGCGUGUGUGGCAGAGGGAACAAGAGAGACGAGACGAGCACACACGGUAAUAAUUCAAAGGUAAAUGCAAACGCCAUCGUCGAGGAUGAACGUAAGCCCCAGCAGUGCGGAGUGAGAGAAUAAAGUGAGGAGGCACUCCCCAGGACGGAUGGCCACAGUGCAGUCCCUUACAAGUCUCCCCUCAGGAUUCUGAGCACACACACACCUACUCGUGUGUGUACUACACUCCAUGAGCUUCCUGAAAGUAAACCAACGGUCCUCACACAUGGAGCAGGGAGAGCAUGAAGAUCGUUAACAGGAGAAACCGUCACUGCGGAGAAGACCCGUCAGCUCCUGCAGCCUGGGCAGCAGUACCACCACCCUCCCAGGCGCUGAGACCGGACAGAGAAGCUGAGAAAAGGGAACUGGUGGCCUGAGGAGGAAGAGGAAGCAGAGUGUGGAAACCAGCAUCCCUGCUGGUCCUCACAGCCAGAGGUCUAGGCCCCCCACGAUGGCUGACAGAGGCAGAGAAAAGGCUUUGUUCGAGACUGCACUGAGCUAGCCAUUUGACCUCUCUAAGUCUUCAUUUUAUAGGAUGCAUCCACUCACGAUAGAGAC